rnacentral:tRNA from 1 species
GUAGCUCAGUGGUACAGCAUUUGCCUACUAUGCAUGAGGCCCUGGGUUCAGUUCCCAGC